rnacentral:rRNA from 1 species
UACGAACUGUGCAAACGUUAUUCGAAAUCACUGGGCUUAAAGGGUGCGUAGGCGGCUGUCUAAGCAGGGUGUGAAAGCCCCCGGCUCAACCGGGGAAUUGCGUUCUGAACUGGACGGCUGGAGUGGGAUAGGGGUGUGUGGAACUUCCGGUGGAGCGGUGAAAUGUGUUGAUAUCGGAAGGAACGCCGGUGGCGAAAGCGACACACUGGGUCUCAACUGACGCUGAGGCACGAAAGCCAGGGGAGCGAACGGGG